GGCCUGGUGGUCUAGUAGUAUGAUUCCUUGUUAGGGUUAUUCGUAAAUCUUCGAUUGUCGAGGAGGUCCUGGGUUCAAUUCCCAGCCAGGCCC